rnacentral:rRNA from 1 species
GAGACAGCAGCCGCCGCGGUAAUACGUAGGUCCCGAGCGUUGUCCGGAUUUAUUGGGCGUAAAGCGAGCGCAGGCGGUUAGAUAAGUCUGAAGUUAAAGGCUGUGGCUUAACCAUAGUACGCUUUGGAAACUGUUUAACUUGGGUGCAAGAGGGGAGAGUGGAAUUCCAUGUGUAGCGGUGAAAUGCGUAGAUAUAUGGAGGAACACCGGUGGCGAAAGCGGCUCUCUGGCUUGUAACUGACGCUGAGGCUCGAAAGCGUGGGGAGCAAACAGGAUUAGAUACCCCCGUAGUCCCUGUCUCUUAUACC